CCGAAAACACUAUUGAUUAUAAUUUUAUUUAAUUGUAUUUAUAAUGAUAAACGUUCUAAAAGGGGAAAUUGUCCAUUCAAAUAAGGAUGCGACAUGUAAUAUUGUCAUUUUAUACAUUCAUCAAAACGUUAAAAUUUUAACAUUAUUUGACAAAAUGGCUUUAAAUGAAUUACUUUCCUACUUGUUUUUAAUUCAGUUUUAUGUAACGCAAAGUUUUGAUUGCGUUGCUAUUCCUUCAAGGAACGGGUACCAGAAAGAAAACUAUAAAGAUGAUGCUAGCAAAUGCUUCAGAAAAUGUUUGACUUCAAAAUAUAUAGGAAUAUCCAGAAAAUAUUGCGUUUGUUUUGAAGAGCCUUACGGUAAUUCUAUGACGGAUGCGUCAAAUUGCGACAAACAUUGCAGUCAUCCGAAACGUCUGAGGUGUGGAGGGAAGGAUUAUUUAAGUGUUUACAAGUCUGAAAACAAUAUCAACAAAAAACGAGAACGAAUCAGCAAACGAGAGAAAGGAGAAUGACGAUUCAACAAACGACAGUCGUGAGGGUUCAGCAGACGACAAUCUUAAAGGCACAGCAGACGACAACAUUGAUAGUACAGCAAACGAUUGGACAAGGGAUCCAGAUGAAAAACUACAUGUUGAUAUCAUCUUCAAGUACGAUGAAACGGGGGAAGGGGGUAAUUAUAAAAGAAAGUAAGGCUAUGUUCAGGAUGAUCAUGGAAGUUACAUUCUCAAAUUUACAGACGACAAUCUGCAGAAGAAGGCACUGUGCGAAAAGGGUACGAUAAACAUUAUUUUUUUUUAUUGCUUACAGUCAAUCAAACUUUUCCUAGUUUCAUUCAUCGUUCCCCAAUGAUGUAAAAUUUGAAACAAAUCCGAAUCAAUGUUUUGUACUUCAAUAAGUAUAUAAAUAGAGAAUACAAAAAAUGUACCAUGAUAGUGUCUGAUAUAACAAAAUUUAUC